AUCACACAACAUACCCGAGUCAUGAACCUCAUCUCAGUCGUCUCUCCCCCAACGCUCAAGUGUCAAGUCACUGAGCCACCAAAAUGCUCGUGUCACCCAGACUACCUUCUCUGAGCUCGCUCUUCUCUCCCUCCAUCUCCGGCCGUUAUCCGGCGGUGCUCCUGCGACGCUACCACCGCUGGUUCCCGGUAUUCGCAGCCGGUUUCUCCGCUCAGAGCACGGUGUCGGUGUCCAACGAGGACGCAGUCCAUACUCAAAAGAGUAACCGAGUCCAGGACCGAGGUGUUACACCUCGGUCACAGGACUUCAAUGCUUGGUACCUUGAUGUCAUUGAACAAGCUGAGCUCGCCGAUUAUGGUCCGGUUCGCGGAACCAUGGUCAUUCGUCCCUACGGUUACGCCAUUUGGGAAGCCAUUCAGGAUUAUCUGAAUAUGAAAUUCAAGGAGACUGGUCACAGUAACAUGUAUUUCCCACAGUUUAUACCAUACUCGUUUAUAGAGAAAGAAGCUAGCCAUGUUGAAGGUUUUAGUCCUGAGUUAGCACUUGUGACGAUAGGAGGAGGGAAGGACCUUGAAGAGAAACUUGUGUGGGCAAAUGUCACGAGAUGGGAGAUGCGGACAAAACCUUUUGUGAGGACUCUCGAAUUUCUCUGGCAGGAGGGACACACAGCUCAUGCCACUCUAGAGGAGGCAGAAAAAGAGGCUAUACAGAUGAUUGAUGUGUAUACAAAAUUUGCUUAUGAGCAAGCUGCAAUACCUGUUAUUGCAGGUCGAAAGUCAAAAGUGGAAACAUUUGCUGGUGCUGUUAGGACCUACACAAUAGAGGCUAUGAUGGGUGAUCGAAAGGCAUUACAGGCUGGAACCAGCCACAAUCUUGGGCAGAAUUUUUCUCGUGCAUUUGAAACACAGUUUACUGAUGAAAGUGGAAAGAGGCAACAUGUGUGGCAGACUUCAUGGCUGUCAGUACCCGUUUUGUUGGCGGUAUUAUUAUGACCCAUGGAGAUGAUACAGGGUUAAUGCUUCCCCCAAAGAUUGCACCGAUACAGGUGGUAACCAAACCAAUUUGGAAGAAGGGUGAUGAUAGAGCAGGAGUUCUCAAUGCUGCAUCAUCUGUGAAAGAAGCACUGCAGGCUGCAGGAAUUAAAGUUAAACUUGAUGACUCUGAUCAGAGAAGCCCAGGAUGGAAAUUCAAUUUCUGGGAGAUGAAGGGAGUUCCUUUGAGGAUUGAAAUUGGUCCUCGUGAUGUUUCAAGUGGGAGUGUGGUUGUAUCUAGAAGAGAUGUUCCUGGAAAGCAAGGGAAAGUUUUUGGAAUAUCCAUGGAGCCUUCAAAUUUGGAGGCUUAUGUGAUGGACAAGUUGGAUGAGAUCCAAUCAUCUCUUUUGAGACAAGCAGAAUCAUUUCGAGAUAGCAAUAUUCUGGAUGUUAGCUCAUAUGAUGAACUCAAAGUUGCAAUCUCCCAGGGCAAAUGGGCAAGAGGUCCUUGGUCCGCCAGUAAUGAAGAUGAGUUAAAAGUAAAAGAGGAAACCGGGGCAACCAUCAGAUGUUUUCCUUUUGAACAGCCGCUGGGGAUUAAAAGAUGCUUGAUGACUGGUAAUCCUGCAGAGGAAGUUGCCAUUUUCGCAAAGUCAUACUAAGUUUCCAGGUUUCCCUCGGAUCACAACAUCCAACCGGUAUCGUUACUACUCAGUCUGUGUUUUGUCAAACUUUCUUUCAAUAGACUAUAGAAGAUUGGACCAAACGAUGUCGCAUACAUCUAUAAAUUGUCAAAAGUGGUUCAUUUGCUAAAUUCCUUGAUUCUUCUCCUCUUUGGAGGAGGAUGAUUGAGAUGUAUUGUUAUAGUUUUUAGGUCAUCAAGAAAGUAUUGUUGUUUAUAACAAAUAAGAAAGUAUUGUUGUUCGGUGGUACGUGCCCAUUUUAAUUCUCCAGAAA